AGGACGAACGCUGGCGGCGUGCCUAACACAUGCAAGUCGAGCGGGGACAUGCGACGGAAGAGAAGUUUCGGAUGGAUCUGAAGAUGUAUGUUCUAGCGGCGGACGGGUGAGUAACGCGUGAGCAACCUGUCCUUCACAGGGGGAUAACACAGCGAAAGUUGUACUAAUACCGCAUAAGACCACGGAGAGACAUCUCUCAGGGGUCAAAGGAGCAAUCCGGUGAAGGGUGGGCUCGCGUCCGAUUAGAUAGUUGGUGAGGUAACGGCCCACCAAGUCGACGAUCGGUAGCCGACCUGAGAGGGUGAUCGGCCACAUUGGGACUGAGACACGGCCCGAACUCCUACGGGAGGCAGCAGUGGGGAAUAUUGGGCAAUGGGGGGAAACCCUGACCCAGCAACGCCGCGUGAGGGAAGAAGGUUUUCGGAUCGUAAACCUCUGUCCCAGGUGAAGAGCAAGAGACGGUAACCUGGGAGGAAGCCCCGGCUAACUACGUGCCAGCAGCGGC
rnacentral:rRNA from 1 species